UAUGAUUUACCCAAGAAUUUUGGGUUUACCCAAAAGUUUUGGGAUUAGUGUUUAAGAUUUAGAGUUUAGUGUUUUACUGACGGCAUUAACAAUCUUAAAUUUUUUUUUUUGCACCUAUUAUUUUUUGGAUUAUAAUAAAAUUAGCAUGCUUAUUUUUAAUGGAAAAAAUCAGACAUAAAUAAAAGAACAAGAGGGAAGAAUAAAAAAUAUGUUUGUUGUGUUCUUUGUAUUUUUAUAUGCUUAUGUAUUUAAUUUUUAUUUGUUUGUCGAGGUACAUGUACUUUUUGUGUUACUAUAAAUGUGAACUAAUUAGUUUUAUGUUUUUUUUAAAUGUUAAGAUAAA
rnacentral:lncRNA from 1 species